rnacentral:tRNA from 1 species
GGGGAGAUGGCGGAGCAGUCAAACGCACCAGACUGUAAAUCUGGCGACUUCGGUCUGCGUAGGUGCGAAUCCUACUCUCCCCACCA